GAUGAACGCUGGCGGCGUGCCUAAUACAUGCAAGUCGAGCGAACAGACGAGGAGCUUGCUCCUCUGACGUUAGCGGCGGACGGGUGAGUAACACGUGGAUAACCUACCUAUAAGACUGGGAUAACUUCGGGAAACCGGAGCUAAUACCGGAUAAUAUAUUGAACCGCAUGGUUCAAUAGUGAAAGACGGUUUUGCUGUCACUUAUAGAUGAAUCCGCGCCGCAUUAGCUAGUUGGUAAGGUAACGGCUUACCAAGGCAACGAUGCGUAGCCGACCUGAGAGGGUGAUCGGCCACACUGGAACUGAGACGCGGUCCAGACUCCUACGGGAGGCAGCAGUAGGGAAUCUUCCGCAAUGGGCGAAAGCCUGACGGAGCAACGCCGCGUGAGUGAUGAAGGUCUUCGGAUCGUAAAACUCUGUUAUUAGGGAAGAACAAAUGUGUAAGUAACUAUGCACGUCUUGACGGUACCUAAUCAGAAAGCCACGGCUAACUACGUG
rnacentral:rRNA from 1 species